rnacentral:piRNA from 1 species
UGGUCCACGUGCCCCACAGACGUACC